rnacentral:tRNA from 1 species
AGGACCUGUGCCUGAAACUAAAGGGUCACUUUGAUAGAGUGAAUCAUGAGGGUUAAAGUCCCCCCGGCUCCUU